UACAGAGGGUGCAAGCGUUGUUCGGAAUUAUUGGGCGUAAAGCGCGUGUAGGCGGCAGUGCAAGUCGGGUGUGAAAGCCCUCAGCUCAACUGAGGAAGUGCGCCCGAAACUGCAUUGCUUGAGUACCGGAGAGGGUGGUGGAAUUCCCGAAGUAGAGGUGAAAUUCGUAGAUAUCGGGAGGAACACCGGUGGCGAAGGCGACCAUCUGGACGGAUACUGACGCUGAGACGCGAAAGCGUGGGUAGCAAACAGG
rnacentral:rRNA from 1 species